AGGGUUAAGUACGGCAAAUCACUCAUAAAUGUACUAUCUCAGCGUGAAUAUUUCGUGAUGAAUAACAGGGCUUGGCGUUCACUCUGAAAGAAAGAAUAGCUCUCGGAAUACAUGGACUACAGCCUCCCAGAUUUAAGACGCAAGAGGAACAGCUGGCUCUGUGCAAAGCCUCAGUAAUGAAAUAUUCAGAGGAUCUGAAUCGAUAUUUGUAUCUUGUGGAACUUCAGGAAAGGAACGAAAGAUUAUUUUUUCGCUUGUUAAGCGAAAAUAUCGAGCAAAUGAUGCCAAUUGUCUAUACACCUACCGUUGGUUUGGCCUGUCAAAAGUUUGGUGUGAUAUAUCGUAGACCUCGCGGACUUUUCAUUACUAUAUACGAUAAAGGCCAUAUUUACGAGAUCUUAAAUAAUUGGCCAGAACAAGCGGUGCGGGCCAUCUGUGUAACAGAUGGCGAGCGAAUUUUAGGUCUUGGUGAUCUCGGAGCUUGCGGCAUGGGUAUCCCCGUUGGAAAACUGGCACUUUAUACAGCUCUAGCUGGAAUCAAACCGUAUCAAUGCCUCCCGAUUACCAUUGAUGUAGGCACUAAUAACGAACAGCUAAGAAACGAUCCUCACUACAUUGGUCUUAAUAAGCCUAGGAGCCAAGGUGCCGAGUAUGAUGAAUUAAUCGACGAAUUUAUGGCUGCCUGCGUGCAAAAAUAUGGACAAAAUGUUCUUAUUCAAUUCGAAGAUUUUGGAAAUCAUAAUGCCUUCCGUUUCUUAGACAAAUACAGAAAUAAAUAUUGUACGUUCAACGAUGAUAUACAAGGUACAGCUGCGGUUGCUGUGGCUGGAAUUUUAGCAUCGCAAAGAAUAACUAAGAAAAGAAUGGCAGAUAAUAAAUUUGUCUUCCUUGGUGCCGGAGAGGCAGCUAUUGGAAUUGCUGAUCUUUGUGUCAAAGCAAUGGAAGCUGACGGUUGCACUCAACAACAAGCGCGCAAUAACAUUUGGAUGAUGGAUAUUGAUGGGUUACUUGUAAAGAAUCGGCCCGAGGGUAAUUUGGAAGGCCACAAGAUCUGGUACGCGAAGGAUUACAAAGUGAUGAAGACGUUAAUCGAAGUUGUGAAAGAAAUCAAACCUUCUGUCUUGAUAGGCGCUUCGGCGGCAGCAGGGGCAUUUACUCCUGAAGUCUUAAGAGAAAUGGCAAAAAAUAACGAGAGGCCGUUGAUUUUUGCUUUAAGUAAUCCAACCAGUAAAGCUGAAUGUACGGCGCAACAAGCGUAUGAUUGUACUGAUGGUAGAUGUGUAUUCUCUUCAGGUUCGCCAUUCGGUGAAGUAAAACAUAAUGGGAAAAUAUAUAAGCCUGGACAGGGCAAUAAUGCGUACAUCUUUCCUGGUAUUGCUUUAGGGGUUAUUGCGACCGGAGUACAUCAUAUUACUGAAGAUUUAUUCUUGAUCUCGGCACAAACUGUUGCCGAUCAUGUAAAAAAUGAAGAUCUUGAAAGGGGUAGUUUAUAUCCGCCAUUAAAUAAUAUUCGCGAGUGUUCUAUCGACAUCGCGGUUAAAAUAGCUGAUUAUGCUUAUGCUAAAGGUGGUUUAGCAAGUGAAUAUCCGGAGCCAAAAGAUAAACGACAAUUCAUCAUAAGUAAAAUGUACGAUGUCAACUACGACAGUCCACUGCCAAAUUUGUAUGAAUGGCCGGGUGAUUAUGCCAAACCACGUAUCUUACCGGAAAAUGGAAGGACCCAGGAUGCCAGCGGCGCUAUUCGGUCGGGUCUUACGACCCUUGUGACGGACUGAACACGUCACGUGACAACGUGUUCAACGCAACGUUCAAGUUCGAGCAUAAAAAUUCAAUCACAAAACUUUGAAUAAUGACGAUGGAGUAUUCGGCUGCACCAAUUGUUUGAUAUUUGCCAGUUUAUCGAUGAAUAUUGUCCACGUAGCAUAUGGUAGGACGAUGCGGUCGCCGAUCGCGAUUUCCACGUGGGACAUAGGUCCCACAGCUAUUCCGAUAUCCAGAUAUUUGUAAGCUGUAGGUGUUAAUGCGCAUAUUCUUCUUAAGAUAUAAGGCGUAUAGCGAGGAAAUGUGCUGUAAUAAAAAAGAUGAAUAUAGGUAAGCGAGAUGUAGA